rnacentral:rRNA from 1 species
CCUACGGGGGGCAGCAGUGGGGAAUAUUGGGCAAUGGGCGCAAGCCUGACCCAGCAACGCCGCGUGAAGGAAGAAGGCUUUCGGGUUGUAAACUUCUUUUGUCAGGGAAGAGUAGAAGACGAUACCUGACGAAUAAGCCACAGCUAACUACGUGCCAGCAGCCGCGGUAAUACGUAGGUGGCAAGCGUUGUCCGGAUUUACUGGGUGUAAAGGGCGUGUAGCCGGGUUGAAAAGUCAGAUGUGAAAUCCUGCGGCUUAACCGCAGAACUGCAUUUGAAACUGUUGAUCUUGAGUACUGGAGAGGCAGACGGAAUUCCUAGUGUAGCGGUGAAAUGCGUAGAUAUUAGGAGGAACACCAGUGGCGAAGGCGGUCUGCUGGACAGCAACUGACGGUGAGGCGCGAAAGCGUGGGGAGCAAACAGGAUUAGAUACCCUAGUAGUC